rnacentral:lncRNA from 1 species
GAGCAAAAACCAAUUGUUUAGGUCUUGUUACACCCCAAUCAUUAGUUGACAACUCCUAAUUGAUCAUAUACCAUUUGAUUGGAGACCCUAUCAAUGUCUAUAUUCGGUAUGACAUUAUAACUUUUAACCUCGUUGAUCCUCCUCUAGUCAUCUUUCAAACCGUCUUUGUAACACCCAAGUGUUUUUUUUUUCUUAAUUU